GACGAACGCUGGCGGCGUGCUUAACACAUGCAAGUCGAACGAAAAGAGGGAAAGAGCCUGCUCUUUCCGGAAUUGAGUGGCAAACGGGUGAGUAACACGUAAACAACCUGCCUUCAGGAUGGGGACAACAGACGGAAACGACUGCUAAUACCGAAUAAGUUCCAAGAGCCGCAUGGCCCAUGGAAGAAAAGGUGGCCUCUACCUGUAAGCUAUCGCCUGAAGAGGGGUUUGCGUCUGAUUAGCUGGUUGGAGGGGUAACGGCCCACCAAGGCGACGAUCAGUAGCCGGUCUGAGAGGAUGAACGGCCACACUGGAACUGAGACACGGUCCAGACUCCUACGGGAGGCAGCAGUGGGGAAUCUUCCGCAAUGGGCGAAAGCCUGACGGAGCAACGCCGCGGGAGUGAUGACGGCCUUCGGGUUGUAAAACUCUGUGAUCCGGGACGAAAAGGCAGAGUGCGAAGAACAAACUGCAUUGACGGUACCGGAAAAGCAAGCCACGGCUAUCUACGUG
rnacentral:rRNA from 1 species